UCUCCCAUCAUUCUAGAUUUCACCUGGAACAACAUAUAAAGAAGAACCAUGGCCGUUUAGGGCAAAUACCAAAGUAUCAACCAUUUUGUUUCCUUCGGUAACAGGUUAAUACUAAUUUCUCCUUCCGUAGAGCAUUACUAUCUAAUAAUGCUGCAUUUACCAAAGUCAAAUCACCAAGCAAGAGGUCAGAAACAUAAAAUGUGGAAGACACAAACAUGUGAGACGCUACACCGAUGUCACUUUCAAAGUAGAGCUAUGUCCAUUCUAAUACCUUGUCCUUUAAAGAGAUAUUCUGUGAUAAAUACCUACUCUUUGCCACAAACCAAUAAAUAGAACUCAGUCAGUACUAAGUCUCUUUUGUUCGUUCUCAAAAAGAACAAUGAUUUAGGCACUUAGCACUUUCGUUUUCAGAUCUAUCACUUCUCACUGAAAUUUAUUGUAGAUAUACGCACUACCACACAUGAUGAGACGAAAACCAAAUAAUCUUGUUGUUGAUUUAUGUAAAAGACGAAAAUGAAUGCUUACCACAUCAAUUGGAGAACCGAUG